rnacentral:rRNA from 1 species
GACGAACGCUGGCGGCGUGCUGAACACAUGCAAGUCGAACGAAGUGGCGAACGGGUGAGUAAAGCGUAAUCAACCUGCCCUUCAGAGGGGAACAACAGGUGGAAACGCCUGCUAAUACAGCAUACUGAAGGAGGGGAUUGAGUCUGAUUAGCUAGUUGGGGGGGGAACGGCCCACCAAGGCGAUGAUCAGUAGCCGGUCUUAGAGGAUGAACGGCCACAUUGGGACUUAGACACGGCCCAGACUCCUACGGGAGGCAGCAGUGGGGAAUCUUCCGCAAUGGACGAAAGUCUGACGGAGCAACGCCGCGUGAGUGAUGACGGCCUUCGGGUUGUAAAGCUCUGUUAAUCGGGACGCGGUACCGGAAUAGAAAGCCACGGCUAACUACGUGCCAGCAGCCGCGGUAAUUC